rnacentral:sRNA from 1 species
CCUCAUCGAUCUGUUGCGGGCAAAUAAAGUGAAUAUGGGCAUCGAUGCCUCCGGCGGUGACAAUUUGCCCCUCUCCGGCAAUGAUUUCGGUGCAGGGGCCUAUUUCAAUAUCGACACCGUCUUGAAUAUCAGGAUUUCCCGCCUUACCAAUAGCCACAAUACGCCCAGCCUUGAGCGCCAAAUCCGCCUUGACCACGCCCCAGUAAUCGAGAAUAACCACAUUGGUAAUGACGGUAUCCGGUGUUAACUCGUAGCCCGCCUGACUCUGUCCCAUACCGUCACG